ensembl:lncRNA
CGUCAUCUGAGCGCGACGCGUGUGGGGCGGAACUGCUCCGCGCCGAAUACAUACAUAUAUGUGUAUAUAUAUAUGUAUAUAUAUGUAUAUAUAUAUUUAAUAAAAGUUGCUCUGAGCAGCUCAUUUGAUCCAGGGCAGUGGGGCAUCCAGUAUGACCAAAGUAAGGUCUGCACCAGUGUAUGCCCAUUGGCAACCUUAUUAGUCGCCGUGAUUACUGACAGAAUAUCGAUUAAGGAUUAUCUGAGGAGAGCUUGAGUUAAGUAACAGCAGCCUGUAGGGACAGUGUGUAAGAGGAGUUCCAGAAUGAAAGGAAAAGGCUGUUUUCAUUAGGAGGCUGUGGAGAAAUGUAUUAAGAAGCAAGGCUCUAGUGAUAAGUAGGAAAGCACAGAUGGAAGGAGGAAGAUAAAAUGUGUAAGGUUAAGAAAGAUGACUCUCAGUACUUCAUUUCGAAUAGUCUGAAAUCUUGGAUGGCCCUCAAACCAGGCACUGAAGCAAUUAAGAAAGGGGAAUGACAGGGGAAAUCAACUAUUUCUUUGACUAGCCGGCCACUGAGGUCAAAAAGACAUUGCUGUCAUCUGCUCAUGGUGCACAGAUGAUGUUGCACAGAGGAGCCAGGGAAACUGAAGAGAGGUAUCUGUGAGAGAGAGGAAUGCAAGAACAAACACUCAGCAUGUCUAAGGUGCUAUCUAUACUUUUUUUGUUUUGUUUUUUUCAUCCUCUGAUUGUGUAUUUUACAUGGGCAGAACACAGGCAUCCUUAUCCUUUCCAGCACUGACCUUUAUGCCUAUCCGUACAACUUCAAAAUAUAUUAUCAGAACUGCUUUGGCCCUUUCUCAUCCACCUUUGGAGGUACAUAUUGCACAUACACAUGCAGUUUACAACUGAGAGAAAAAACAGGGACUUCACUGCUGUCAGCCCUGACUUUUUCUAUGUGUCCACGAAGUUCCAGCCCUCAGAAGUUUUCAGUCCUGCUGGGUCUGAAAGAUAAUGCUCUUUAUUUGGAUGUCUGCUCCCAGAACCCACUUGGCAAGGGUGAGAAGGCAGGCAGUUCUGCUAAAGAAGGAAGGCAGUGUGAGUUGUGGCUCUUUGUGUCUGCUCUGUGUAUGACAAAAAGGAGAGUGAGGAGUUUAGGUUUUCUACAGGGACACACAAGUAGAGGGUUGUGAACUCUGAUUUUCUACUAACCUGUGCAAAUCCUAUGGUAUAGGCACAUUCGUAAAUCUAUCAGACUGCACUCAUUCAGGUACUCAUUAGUAUUUUUCUUAAAAAUUGAGAGGGGAGAGCAAUUUGGCCUGAAGGGGUAGAUACAAUGUUGAGAA